rnacentral:rRNA from 1 species
GAUGAACGCUAGCUACAGGCUUAACACAUGCAAGUCGAGGGGAAACGGCAUCGAAAGCUUGCUUUUGAUGGGCGUCGACCGGCGCACGGGUGAGUAACGCGUAUCCAACCUGCCCAUCACUUGGGAAUAACCUUGCGAAAGUAAGACUAAUGCCCAAUGACAUCCCACGAAGGCAUCCGAAUGGGAUUAAAGAUUUAUCGGUGAUGGAUGGGGAUGCGUCUGAUUAGCUUGUUGGCGGGGUGACGGCCCACCAAGGCAACGAUCAGUAGGGGUUCUGAGAGGAAGGUCCCCCACAUGGGAACUGGGACACGGUCCAAACUCCUACGGGAGGCAGCAGUGAGGAAUAUUGGUCAAUGGGCGAGAGCCUGAACCAGCCAAGUAGCGUGCAGGAUGGCGGCCCUAUGGGUUGUAAACUGCUUUUAUGAGGGAAUAAAGUGGGUCACGUGUGACUUUUUGCAUGUACCUUAUGAAUAAGGACGGGCUAAUUCCGUG